AUUAAUUUAAUAUGGAUGGUGAUACUCAUAGGCAUUAUCUAAAGUCCAUUCUCUUUAUUUUUAAGCCAAUGUGAGUGAGGUUUCUGUUUUUAUGUAUAUAUUCUUUUUCUCAACCAAAAAUGUCAUCAAAGAGAACCUAAUUGGUUAUCAUGUUAACUUUGUUAGUUGGUCUCCUCUCCUCUAUUUAUAAAAGAAAAAAA
rnacentral:lncRNA from 1 species